AUGGAUCUACAUCAGAUACUGUCAUGGUCAUUCAACUCGUCCCUUGCUCUGCCCGACGAAGAUGAUGGCAUGGACGCGGUGGUUAUUGUAGUGUCAAUCGUAGGAGCUGUGGUGUUGGCGGCUGUGCUUUGGUGCAUCCUCUCAUGCUUCAUGUGCAGAAGGAGAACUAGAAGCCAUGACAUCGUGACACGAACUGGAGGACCCAAAGAGUUCGAGUACCGUGUUCUGGCUGCUGCAACGGACGACUUCUCUGAGGCGAGGGUUAUUGGGCAAGGUGCCUUUGGAGUAGUCUACAGGGGUACGCUGAGCUCCAACGGAUCAUCAUGGGGCGCGUCCUUGAGAGAAUUGGGUGGUCUAUCAUCAAAGGAAUCAUGUGCAUCGUCCUCCAAGGAAUCAGAUAGCGGCGAGGUGGCUGUAAAGAAAAUCUUGAAUAAGAUGAGGGGAGGAAAUCUGGACUUCUUCACCGAAAUGAACACCAUUAGUGCAGCAAAGCACAAAAAUCUCGUCAAACUGAAAGGUUGGUGCUGUAGGAAACACAGCCGAAACAUACUCGAUUGCAUGUGCUGGUGUUGUAGGAAGAAGAAACAUGACGAGCUCUUCCUUGUCUAUGAACUGGUGCCCAACGGAAAUCUGCAGUACCACCUACACGAGAGUGAGCAAGUAAUAGCAUGGCCAACAAGGUACCAAAUUGUGAAAGGAAUCGGCUCUGCUCUGGUUUACCUCCACCAUGAGUGUGACCCUUACAUUCUGCAUAGAGAUAUCAAACCAGCCAACAUACUCCUUGACAACAACUUCAAUGCCAAGCUUGCUGACUUCGGGUUGUCAAGGGUUGGCAACCAGGACAAUGCGACGUUGAUGACACUCGCGCAAGGGACGGAAGGGUACAUAGAUCCAGAAUGCAGGAAAGAUGGGAAAGUCAAGUUCUACCCUAGAUCUGAUGUCUACAGCUUUGGAAUCGUCCUACUAGACAUUGUAUGCACACGGAAGUCCAGGGAGCAAGUCUGGGAGCUAUAUAAAGGAGGCAUGAUCAUCGAGGCUGUAGAUGAAAGGUUGCAUGGGGAUGACUUUGAUAGGUGGCAGACGCAGAUGCAGCGUGUGGCCGUCCUAGGACUCUGGUGUUCUCUUCUUGAUGGUGCCAAAAGGCCUACCAUUCAGAAAGCAAUGGAGUUCCUGGAACGUGAUCAUGAGCCGUUGCCUAACCUCAACUAUGCGGUGAACUCUUGUGUACCCUCGACACAUCAUGAUGCCUACACUAGUCGCUGCUCUGAUGAGCAGACACUUAUGUCAGAUGUCAAGUAA
rnacentral:rRNA from 1 species